rnacentral:lncRNA from 1 species
UUCUGCAGCAGGUCUGACUGGAUCUGAUGUCUGCCAGAGACUGUUCAGCAGCCGGGCCCCGGAGGUAAGAGCAGUGACUGAGAAAGGCUUCUCCCAAGUAAAAUAUGACUUAUACAUAGGAACAGAGCACUUGGGGAGAAAAAUGCUAAUGUGAGAUGAGCUGAUGUCUCACCUGAAAGAUCUACAGGCCUAACACUUCCUUGGACUCCCUUUUCUGGAUGGAAAUACCCCUGAAGGACUUCGGUUUUCUUAGCUUCAGAGCAGAGAUCUUUAUAACAAGGCAAUGCCUCUGCUUUGUGUGUUUGUGAGCUCCUUUUGCCAAGCUCGUCUGGUGAAGAAACUAAUGGACACUGGAAACAUUCCUGUGACCGCCCUGCUUCGUGUACUGCAUGCUGCACAUCAGCACAAGAGGAGUCCCUGCUUCUAAAACUGAACUCUCUUUCUUAACAACCUCAUUUACCAGGACACUGAGCUGGCAAAUCAGAUGCACACGACUUGCCUGGCUGUGCUGCGUCCAAGCUCUGCCUUCCUGCAACACAGGCUCUCCCCUUGAAGUUCACUGCAGGCUCCUCUAGGAUGAUUUUCAGUUCCAGGAAGAGCAUGCAGCAGAUGAACAUGCAAAUGAGGAUGAAUUUUAAAGGAUCUAAGAAAGCAUGCUUCUAAAAUGUAAGUUUUAUAUAUUUUAAAAAUACCCAUUUAAUCUUCCUAUUUAAAACUUCCUAUUAAAAUACAGGUCUUCGAUAGCAGACCUUAGAUAAUGCCCACACAGGAAACAGAGUUGCUUUCUUUUUCUUUAAAAGUUCCCUGGACACCCAACAAAACUGAAUUACUAAUGGCUCACCUUUGGGUUGAUUGUAAGUCUUAGCUGACCCUUUUUGUCUAACUGGGUUAAUUAGGUAUUAUGUUUUCUCUUUUUCACCUAAAGGUUUUAUAAAAUCUUAAUAUUUCAGCUCCUGCAGCUGCUUUCAUUGCACAAGUUAAAGAUCUAUCUUAUGCUGAGCUACCUAUUUUCACCAAAUAUGUAAAACCUAAAUUGGUUCUGAAAUUUCCACUCAUCUUUAAGAAUUAACUGAAAUUGGCCAACAAGGAGUUGACCAUUCCCCUUCCUCUGAUGAUUGGGAAAGACUGGAUGAUAGACACGUGUGACUGCAUAAACACUGUUCCUUAGGAAACAGCCUUAAAAAAAUAAAUCACUUUUUGGAUCACA